UAGAGACCGGCGCACGGGCGCGUAACGCGUAUGCAAUCUACCUUUCACAAAGGGAUAGCCCAGAGAAAUUUGGAUUAAUACCUUAUAGUAAUACGACUUGGCAUCAAGAUGUAUUUAAAGAUUUAUCGGUGAAAGAUGAGCAUGCGUCCCAUUAGCUAGUUGGUAAGGUAACGGCUUACCAAGGCAACGAUGGGUAGGGGUCCUGAGAGGGAGAUCCCCCACACUGGUACUGAGACACGGACCAGACUCCUACGGGAGGCAGCAGUGAGGAAUAUUGGACAAUGGGCGCAAGCCUGAUCCAGCCAUGCCGCGUGCAGGAUGACGGUCCUAUGGAUUGUAACUGCUUUUGUACAGGAAGAAACCCUUUCACGUGUGGAAGAUUGACGGUACUGUAAGAAUAAGGAUCGGCUAACUCCGUGCCAGCAGCCGCGGUAAU
rnacentral:rRNA from 1 species